rnacentral:rRNA from 1 species
GCUUGCUACCUGACCUAGCGGCGGACGGGUGAGUAAUGCUUAGGAAUCUGCCUAUUAGUGGGGGACAACAUUCCGAAAGGAAUGCUAAUACCGCAUACGCCCUACGGGGGAAAGCAGGGGAUCUUCGGACCUUGCGCUAAUAGAUGAGCCUAAGUCAGAUUAGCUAGUUGGUGGGGUAAAGGCCUACCAAGGCGACGAUCUGUAGCGGGUCUGAGAGGAUGAUCCGCCACACUGGGACUGAGACACGGCCCAGACUCCUACGGGAGGCAGCAGUGGGGAAUAUUGGACAAUGGGCGAAAGCCUGAUCCAGCCAUGCCGCGUGUGUGAAGAAGGCCUUUUGGUUGUAAAGCACUUUAAGCGAGGAGGAGGCUACUUGGAUUAAUACUCUAGGAUAGUGGACGUUACUCGCAGAAUAAGCACCGGCUAACUCUGUGCCAGCAGCCGCGGUAAUACAGAGGGUGCGAGCGUUAAUCGGAUUUACUGGGCGUAAAGCGUGCGUAGGCGGCUUCUUAAGUCGGAUGUGAAAUCCCUGAGCUUAACUUAGGAAUUGCAUUCGAUACUGGGAAGCUAGAGUAUGGGAGAGGAUGGUAGAAUUCCAGGUGUAGCGGUGAAAUGCGUAGAGAUCUGGAGGAAUACCGAUGGCGAAGGCAGCCAUCUGGCCUAAUACUGACGCUGAGGUACGAAAGCAUGGGGAGCAAACAGGAUUAGAUACCCUGGUAGUCCAUGCCGUAAACGAUGUCUACUAGCCGUUGGGGCCUUUGAGGCUUUAGUGGCGCAGCUAACGCGAUAAGUAGACCGCCUGGGGAGUACGGUCGCAAGACUAAAACUCAAAUGAAUUGACGGGGGCCCGCACAAGCGGUGGAGCAUGUGGUUUAAUUCGAUGCAACGCGAAGAACCUUACCUGGUCUUGACAUAGUAAGAACUUUCCAGAGAUGGAUCGGUGCCUUCGGGAACUUACAUACAGGUGCUGCAUGGCUGUCGUCAGCUCGUGUCGUGAGAUGUUGGGUUAAGUCCCGCAACGAGCGCAACCCUUUUCCUUAUUUGCCAGCGAGUAAUGUCGGGAACUUUAAGGAUACUGCCAGUGACAAACUGGAGAAAGGCGGGGACGACGUCAAGUCAUCAUGGCCCUUACGACCAGGGCUACACACGUGCUACAAUGGUCGGUACAAAGGGUUGCUACCUAGCGAUAGGAUGCUAAUCUCAAAAAGCCGAUCGUAGUCCGGAUUGGAGUCUGCAACUCGACUCCAUGAAGUCG